GAGUAUUUACUAUCGUUAAGUGCUAUCUGCAUGGUUCCUGUUUCAGAGCAUGUGAUUCAAAUUAUAUUUUUUAGAAUUCAGUUAGUUUCCAUGUUUGAUCUGAUGACUGCUAGCAUAAAAAUUCUAGACCAAGUUGAUCUACUGGGAGCAAAUACAAAUUCUCUCUGGAGUAGUAGCACUUCAUACAAGUAUUUCAAGGCACGUAUCAUACAAUGCGGCG
rnacentral:lncRNA from 1 species